rnacentral:rRNA from 1 species
UUCCUACGGGGGGCAGCAGUGGGGAAUAUUGGGCAAUGGGCGCAAGCCUGACCCAGCAACGCCGCGUGAAGGAAGAAGGCUUUCGGGUUGUAAACUUCUUUUAAGAGGGAAGAGCAGAAGACGGUACCUCUUGAAUAAGCCACGGCUAACUACGUGCCAGCAGCCGCGGUAAUACGUAGGUGGCAAGCGUUGUCCGGAUUUACUGGGUGUAAAGGGCGUGUAGCCGGGCUGACAAGUCAGAUGAGAAAUCCGGGGGCUCAACCCCCGAACUGCAUUUG